rfam:Oryctolagus cuniculus chromosome 11, whole genome shotgun sequence.
GUGCACUCACUUCAGCAGCACAUAUACUAAAACUGGAACAAUACAGAGAAGCUUAGCAUGGCCCCUCCAUGAGGAUGACAUGCAAAUUCAUGAAGCGUUCCAUAUUUUA